rnacentral:rRNA from 1 species
UGGGGAAUAUUGCACAAUGGGCGCAAGCCUGAUGCAGCCAUGCCGCGUGUAUGAAGAAGGCCUUCGGGUUGUAAAGUACUUUCAGCGGGGAGGAAGGCGUUGAGGUUAAUAACCUCGGCGAUUGACGUUACCCGCAGAAGAAGCACCGGCUAACUCCGUG